GAUUAGUAGCCUCUUACCUUUUUUACCUUCACCCGUGACCCGUGUUGAUGUACCCUACCUUUCCUCACCCAGUAAAACAUUCCUCUAUUUGCCCGCCCCUGUCCUGAAUCCAUCACUUUUUGUUAGUGAUGUAAUGCUUCCAUUUUUCACCGAGCCGAUUUCGUUUUGUUUUUAUCCUUUCUAGUCAGUCUGGAUCCAUCUGUCGCCGUGUUACCGCUGCCUGUAAAGUAAUAAACCGGCAGAGAAGUUGACGUUGGAAUUUCAAGUUGCUAACCAGAGGAAUCGGCCUGUAAUUUUAGCGUAUCUACCACAUAGUCCUCCGCGGCCGGAUGACUGUUUUUUCAGUCAUUUGUUUCUUUGUUCUUUGCUGAUUGCGAUGCUUUGAAGAUUUGCGCUGUGAUUUGACAUCAAGAUGCCUGACAAGAUGAGUGAGGAAGUGGAGGUGUUGGUGAAGGACAGAACUCUGCUUAGAGGGCCUGGCGUCACCAAAAGCGGGUCUGCGACCAUCUGAUCCGGCGGUGGUGUGAUGAGUACCGCAACGCUCUCCGCUGCUGGAGCGUCUCGCCCCGUGGACGACCUAGCCGUACACCGCGCGUGGGAGACGUGGUGCUAGUCCACAGUGAGAGGCCGCGCGGCCGGUGGCCUGUGGCGCGAGUGACGCGGCUGCUGGCGGGGCCGGACGGCCACGUGAGGGCCGCCGUCAUCAGCCUGCGCGGGCGGAGCACUCGCCGCCCUGUCAGCCGCCUGUUCCUGCUGGAGGCGGCGGACUGAGUCGGACUGAGUCGUACCGGUGCAGUGAUCGGGACGAGUUACGUCGCCGCGAACUAUCGCAGAGUGCUGUGCCUUUUGUCGUAUUCAUCGUUCUGUUUGUUUUUCGAAAUCGGUCGUGCGCUCGAUUUCGAGUGGGGAGUGUGUUGUGAUUAGUAGCCUCUUACCUUUUUUACCUUCACCCGUGACCCGUGUUGAUGUACCCUACCUUUCCUCACCCAGUAAAACAUUCCUCUAUUUGCCCGCCCCUGUCCUGAAUCCAUCACUUUUUGUUAGUGAUGUAAUGCUUCCAUUUUUCACCGAGCCGAUUUCGUUUUGUUUUUAUCCUUUCUAGUCAGUCUGGAUCCAUCUGUCGCCGUGUUACCGCUGCCUGUAAAGUAAUAAACCGGCAGAGAAGUUGA